rnacentral:rRNA from 1 species
UACAGAGGUCCCAAGCGUUGUUCGGAUUCACUGGGCGUAAAGAGCGUGUAGGCGGCUCGGUAAGUCCGCUGUGAAAGUCCAGGGCUCAACCCUGGAAUGCCAGUGGAAACUGUCGAGCUAGAGUCCGGAAGAGGCGAGUGGAAUUCCUGGUGUAGCGGUGAAAUGCGCAGAUAUCAGGAGGAACACCAAUGGCGAAGGCAGCUCGCUGGGACGGUACUGACGCUGAGACGCGAAAGCGUGGGGAGCAAACAGG